rnacentral:rRNA from 1 species
GAUCCUGGCUCAGAUUGAACGCUGGCGGCAGGCCUAACACAUGCAAGUCGAGCGGUAGCACAGAGAGCUUGCUCUCGGGUGACGAGCGGCGGACGGGUGAGUAAUGUCUGGGAAACUGCCUGAUGGAGGGGGAUAACUACUGGAAACGGUAGCUAAUACCGCAUAAUGUCGCAAGACCAAAGUGAGGGACCUUCGGGCCUCAUGCCAUCAGAUGUGCCCAGAUGGG